GAUGAAGGAACGUAGCGAAAUGCGAUAAGUAAUGUGAAUUGCAGAAUUCAGUGAAUCAUCGAAUCUUUGAACGCACAUUGCGCCCGCCAGUAUUCUGGCGGGCAUGCCUGUUCGAGCGUCAUUACAACCCUCAGGCCCCCGGGCCUGGCGUUGGGGAUCGGCGGAAGCCCCCUGUGGGCACACGCCGUCCCUCAAAUACAGUGGCGGUCCCGCCGCAGCUUCCAUUGCGUAGUAGCUAACACCUCGCAACUGGAGAGCGGCGCGGCCAUGCCGUAAAACACCCAACUUCUGAAUGUUGACCUCGAAUCAGGUAGGAAUACCCGCUGAACUUAAGCAUAUCAAUAAGCGGAGGA
rnacentral:misc_RNA from 1 species